rnacentral:lncRNA from 1 species
CUCUAAGCUGCGGUCUCCCUUCCAUCGCAGUUCCAUCGUCUCCUUCUUCCUGGCUCUUUCUUCUCUUCUUCUUCUUCUUGUUUGGCUUCACCUACACCACCACCACUAGCUUUCUCUGCCAUCUCCGACUUAAGCCUCUGUUCUCUUACAUCAUCUGAGAUGUCACAGCUAAAGUUUUUGUACCUCUCUUUCUGGAAAGUCCAACAUUAGCAUCAGACAAGGUCUGAAGAAGCUCGGCUCGGGACUUACCCUUUAGCACGAUACAUAGAGGAGGUCCACACUUGCUGGUGUUUCUUUCUUAGAAACGGUAAGAAUAUCGAUGUUUGCUGUAGUAGAUAAACAAUUAAAUUAUGACGUACCAGCCGUUAAACGCUAUGAGUUCGAUAUAAUAGUUUUCCCUAAAACGUUCUGACAACGCCCGUUAUAAUAGGUCUGUCACUUUUGAUAGCGGAUAUGUCGUAUGCUAUAAUUAAAUAAACAACAAUAGCGUUAAUUUCUAUGCAAUUGUUAAUUUUUAUAAUAAUGAAUUGAUUUUAUUUUUUUAAAUGUAAUAUUUAUUUCGAAUUUUUAUAAUAAAAGUAAUUAAUCAUAUUAUAACAACUAAAAUAUAUUUAAAUGAUUAAAAACAAAAAAAAUUAAAAAUUAAAUUAUAUUUAUUAAUAAAAUUUUGUUUACAAAUAAAAUCAGUUUAUACAUUAACCAAAAUAUUAAACCAAAAACUAAUUAACCAAACCUAAAUAAACAAAAAAAAAAUUGAACCAAACCUAAUAAACUAAAACCUAAAGCUCUAAGCUGCGGUCUCCCUUCCAUCGCAGUUCCAUCGUCUCCUUCUUCCUGGCUCUUUCUUCUCUUCUUCUUCUUCUUGUUUGGCUUCACCUACACCACCACCACUAGCUUUCUCUGCCAUCUCCGACUUAAGCCUCUGUUCUCUUACAUCAUCUGAGAUGUCACAGCUAAAGUUUUUGUACCUCUCUUUCUGGAAAGUCCAACAUUAGCAUCAGACAAGGUCUGAAGAAGCUCGGCUCGGGACUUACCCUUUAGCACGAUACAUAGAGGAGGUCCACACUUGCUGGUGUUUCUUUCUUAGAAACGGUAAGAAUAUCGAUGUUUGCUGUAGUAGAUAAACAAUUAAAUUAUGACGAACCUACAAGCAAUGGAACUUGGAUAUUAACACUCUAAACUCGAAGAUUAGAAGUAAAUCAUCAAAAAAGUUUAACAACAUACCCGGCUGAGUAGAAACUCCCAAGAAGAACUUGUCAACAACUCCAUAACAGGGCAAGACUGGUCAUACUAAAGAAAAAAAGAUGAAAGAUCAGAGCAACCAUUAAUCACAACCAGAGUCGAUCAUUUCAAUCAUCUUCUCCACAAUCUGAAAAAAUUAAUUUGUAUUGAAAUCAGCAACACCAUUCAAAAAUAGAGAGCCAUCAACGUUCUCGCAAGUAGCUAUGUCUUAUAAUCCCUCAAAUCAAGAACUCAAAGCAAUACAUAGUACAAUGAGACUGCAGAACCCAACCUCUCUCUGUGACCACCAAGACGUCGGCCAGAGAUGUAGCGACCAGUCAUGCCCUCAGCCAUGUCUCCAGAUGUCACAGCUAAAGUUUUUGUACCUCUCUUUCUGGAAAGUCCAACAUUAGCAUCAGACAAGGUCUGAAGAAGCUCGGCUCGGGACUUACCCUUUAGCACGAUACAUAGAGGAGGUCCACACUUGCUGGUGUUUCUUUCUUAGAAACGGUAAGAAUAUCGAUGUUUGCUGUAGUAGAUAAACAAUUAAAUUAUGACGAACCUACAAGCAAU